rnacentral:rRNA from 1 species
UACGUAGGGGGCUAGCGUUGUCCGGAAUCAUUGGGCGUAAAGCGCGCGUAGGCGGCCCGGUAAGUCCGCUGUAAAAGUCCAGGGCUCAACCCUGGAAAGCCGGUGGAUACUGUCGGGCUCGAGUCCGGAAGAGGCGAGUGGAAUUCCUGGUGUAGCGGUGGAAUGCGCAGAUAUCAGGAGGAACACCGAUGGCGAAGGCAGCUCGCUGGGACGGUACUGACGCUAAGGCGCGAAAGCGUGGGGAGCGAACAGG